CCGCGCUGGAGGAGGCCAACCCCUCUCUUGGCCUGGUCUCAAACCCCCGACUCAGGGUGGUUGCGGAGGGAAGCGGCAGGAUGGGACGCAGUGCCAAAGGCGGGGAUGUGCGGGCUGUGGCGCGUCUAAAGGGACAGGCUGCAGAAAAGGGGACAAAGUGACAGAGGAGCAGCAGAUCGAUGCCGCAAGGAGGAGCCGGGAGCCACCAACCGGGCAGUUUAGUAAUCCCAUUCUUAACAAUGCUGGACUCUAAUUUCGAACGGACAAGGUAUCUGAAUGCUCAGAGGAGGAACGCGUGCUUUCUAACUGAAGUCCAGUCCACAUGGAGGUCCAGGGAGCAGGCCUGCUUCACGCUGGAGAGAUGCAGAAAAUCUGCCGGGAGAGCAAGGCUUUGGAGGAGGUGAGCCCUUGGUAGAUGACCAACUUGUGACCCAAAGGAGGUUUGGGGUUUUGCAGCAGUAACAUGAAUUACCAGCUUGUAAAAUGUGACUCAGGAAGAAACACAAAGACCUGUGAAUAUUUCUGCCUCCAAAAACCUACUGCUUUUCA